GCCUUCGUGGUGUAACGGUAGCACACUCGGCUCAUAUUCGUGAGGUCCAGGUUGGAGCCCCGGCGAGGGCA
rnacentral:tRNA from 1 species